GUCUUAAUUGGGCGUUAAGUUGCAGGGUAUAGACCCGAAACCCGGUGAUCUAGCCAUGGGCAGGUUGAAGGUUGGGUAACACUAACUGGAGGACCGAACCGACUAAUGUUGAAAAAUUAGCGGAUGACCUGUGGCUGGGGGUGAAAGGCCAAUCAAACCGGGAGAUAGCUGGUUCUCCCCGAAAGCUAUUUAGGUAGCGCCUCGUGAAUUCAUCUCCGGGGGUAGAGCACUGUUUCGGCUAGGGGGCCAUCCCGGCUUACCAACCCGAUGCAAACUGCGAAUACCGGAGAAUGUUAUCACGGGAGACACACGGCGGGUGCUAACGUCCGUCGUGAAGAGGGAAACAACCCAGACCGCCAGCUAAGGUCCCAAAGUCAUGGUUAAGUGGGAAACGAUGUGGGAAGGCCCAGACAGCCAGGAUGUUGGCUUAGAAGCAGCCAUCAUUUAAAGAAAGCGUAAUAGCUCACUGGUCGAGUCGGCCUGCGCGGAAGAUGUAACGGGGCUAAACCAUGCACCGAAGCUGCGGCAGCGACACUGUGUGUUGUUGGGUAGGGGAGCGUUCUGUAAGCCUGUGAAGGUGUGUCGUGAGGCAUGCUGGAGGUAUCAGAAGUGCGAAUGCUGACAUAAGUAACGAUAAAGCGGGUGAAAAGCCCGCUCGCCGGAAGACCAAGGGUUCCUGUCCAACGUUAAUCGGGGCAGGGUGAGUCGACCCCUAAGGCGAGGCCGAAAGGCGUAGUCGAUGGGAAACGGGUUAAUAUUCCCGUACUUGGUGUUACUGCGAAGGGGGGACGGAGAAGGCUAUGUUGGCCGGGCGACGGUUGUCCCGGUUUAAGCGUGUAGGUGUGUGUUCCAGGUAAAUCCGGUUCACUUUAACACUGAGGCGUGACGACGAGGCACUACGGUGCUGAAGCAACAAAUGCCCUGCUUCCAGGAAAAGCCUCUAAGCAUCAGGUAACAUCAAAUCGUACCCCAAACCGACACAGGUGGUCAGGUAGAGAAUACCAAGGCGCUUGAGAGAACUCGGGUGAAGGAACUAGGCAAAAUGGUGCCGUAACUUCGGGAGAAGGCACGCUGACACGUAGGUGAAGUGAUUUACUCAUGGAGCUGAAGUCAGUCGAAGAUACCAGCUGGCUGCAACUGUUUAUUAAAAACACAGCACUGUGCAAACACGAAAGUGGACGUAUACGGUGUGACGCCUGCCCGGUGCCGGAAGGUUAAUUGAUGGGGUCAGCGCAAGCGAAGCUCCUGAUCGAAGCCCCGGUAAACGGCGGCCGUAACUAUAACGGUCCUAAGGUAGCGAAAUUCCUUGUCGGGUAAGUUCCGACCUGCACGAAUGGCGUAAUGAUGGCCAGGCUGUCUCCACCCGAGACUCAGUGAAAUUGAACUCGCUGUGAAGAUGCAGUGUACCCGCGGCAAGACGGAAAGACCCCGUGAACCUUUACUAUAGCUUGACACUGAACAUUGAGCCUUGAUGUGUAGGAUAGGUGGGAGGCUUUGAAGUGUGGACGCCAGUCUGCAUGGAGCCGACCUUGAAAUACCACCCUUUAAUGUUUGAUGUUCUAACGUGGACCCGUUACCCGGGUUGCGGACAGUGUCUGGUGGGUAGUUUGACUGGGGCGGUCUCCUCCUAAAGAGUAACGGAGGAGCACGAAGGUUGGCUAAUCCUGGUCGGACAUCAGGAGGUUAGUGCAAUGGCAUAAGCCAGCUUGACUGCGAGCGUGACGGCGCGAGCAGGUGCGAAAGCAGGUCAUAGUGAUCCGGUGGUUCUGAAUGGAAGGGCCAUCGCUCAACGGAUAAAAGGUACUCCGGGGAUAACAGGCUGAUACCGCCCAAGAGUUCAUAUCGACGGCGGUGUUUGGCACCUCGAUGUCGGCUCAUCACAUCCUGGGGCUGAAGUAGGUCCCAAGGGUAUGGCUGUUCGCCAUUUAAAGUGGUACGCGAGCUGGGUUUAGAACGUCGUGAGACAGUUCGGUCCCUAUCUGCCGUGGGCGCUGGAGAACUGAGGGGGGCUGCUCCUAGUACGAGAGGACCGGAGUGGACGCAUCACUGGUGUUCGGGUUGUCAUGCCAAUGGCACUGCCCGGUAGCUAAAUGCGGAAGAGAUAAGUGCUGAAAGCAUCUAAGCACGAAACUUGCCCCGAG
rnacentral:rRNA from 2 species